GGCGAACGGGUGAGUAACGCGUAGGUGACCUACCCCAAAGUGUGGGAUAACAGUCCGAAAGGAUUGCUAAUACCGCAUGUGGUUAUCGGAUCUAGAAACUGAUAACUAAAGGAGCAAUUCGCUUUGGGAGGGACCUGCGUCCCAUCAGCUAGUUGGUGAGGUAAUGGCUCACCAAGGCUACGACGGGUAGGGGACCUGAGAGGGUGACCCCCCACAAUGGAACUGAAACACGGUCCAUACACCUACGGGUGGCAGCAGUAGGGAAUAUUGCACAAUGGGCGAAAGCCUGAUGCAGCAACGCCGCGUGUGCGAUGAAGGCCUUCGGGUCGUAAAGCACUUUUCUGAGAGAUGAGCAAGGACAGUAUCUCAGGAAUAAGUCUCGGUAACUACGUGCCAGCCGCCGCGG
rnacentral:rRNA from 1 species